rnacentral:lncRNA from 1 species
GGGUCUCCUUUUUAUAGGCGGAGGGAGCAACAGACUGAUAGUGAUGUUUGUAACCGUCUGGCAGUGGGCUGCCCAUGGUCAGGAGGAGUUUAUCAUGAAGAGUAAUGGGGUGGAGUCGUGGCUGUCAUCAUGGCUCGCCACGUGGAAUCAGUUGUGGGGAGUGGAGCGGCAUCCGUUGUCGCGACUCGCCAGGGAGUGGUGG